rnacentral:rRNA from 1 species
UACGUAGGGUGCGAGCGUUGUCCGGAAUUAUUGGGCGUAAAGAGCUCGUAGGCGGUCUGUCGCGUCGAUCGUGAAAACUUGGGGCUUAACCCUGAGCUUGCGGUCGAUACGGGCAUGACUGGAGUUCGGCAGGGGAGACUGGAAUUCCUGGUGUAGCGGUGAAAUGCGCAGAUAUCAGGAGGAACACCGGUGGCGAAGGCGGGUCUCUGGGCAUGUCCUGACGCUGAGGAGCGAAAGUGUGGGGAGCGAACAGG